rnacentral:misc_RNA from 1 species
GCAAAUGGUAAGCUUUCCAGUUUCCAUGAAGUUACUAGACGAAUGUUGAUCCUCUGUCUUUCCUCUUCCUGUUGUGCUGAGUUGUAACGUAUGUCGUAGUUUGAAACUUAAUAGGGGUAACGUGCUAUUUAUAAGUUGUGGAGUUUGUAUCUUCAACAUUAUGGUUUUACUAAAUGCAUCUUGCUUGUAAAGGUAGCAACAAGACAUAAGUAUACCAUGAGGACCCCAUUCCUUCUAAAAUUCUGUUUAUAUCUUUACCUUUCUUCUGGAUCAGCUU